rnacentral:rRNA from 1 species
UGAUACUAAGCCAUGCGAGUCAUUGCAGUAAUGCAAGGCAGACGGCUCAGUAACGCGUAGUCAACCUACCCUAUGGACGGGAAUAACCUCGGGAAACUGAGUAUAAUGCCCGAUAGAACACUAUUCCUGGAAUGGUUUGUGUUCCAAAUGAUUUAUCGCCGUAGGAUGGGACUGCGGCCUAUCAGUUUGUUGGUGAGGUAAUGGCCCACCAAGACUAUUACAGGUACGGGCUCUGAGAGGAGUAGCCCGGAGAUGGGUACUGAGACACGGACCCAGGCCCUAUGGGGCGCAGCAGGCGAGAAAACUUUGCAAUGUGCGAAAGCACGACAAGGUUAAUCCGAGUGGUUUGUGCUAAACGAACCUUUUGACAGUCCUAGAAACACUGUUGAAUAAGGGGUGGGCAAGUUCUGGUGUCAGCCGCCGCGGUAAAACCAGCACCUCAAGUGGUCAGGAUGAUUAUUGGGCCUAAAGCAUCCGUAGCCGGCUCUGUAAGUUUUCGGUUAAAUCUGUACGCUCAACGUACAGGCUGCCGGGAAUACUGCAGAGCUAGGGAGUGGGAGAGGUAGACGGUACUCGGUAGGAAGGGGUAAAAUCCUUUGAUCUAUUGAUGACCACCUGUGGCGAAGGCGGUCUACCAGAACACGUCCGACGGUGAGGGAUGAAAGCUGGGGGAGCAAGCCGGAUUAGAUACCCGGGUAGUCCCAGCUGUAAACUAUGCAAACUCAGUGAUGCAUUGGCUUGUGGCCAAUGCAGUGCUGCAGGGAAGCCGUUAAGUUUGCCGCCUGGGAAGUACGUACGCAAGUAUGAAACUUAAAGGAAUUGGCGGGGGAGCACCACAAGGGGUGAAGCCUACGGUUCAAUUGG